AAGCUCUGGUUUCUCUUCAAAACGAAUACAUCUUUUGCCUUUUACUGCAGAUUUCCGUGGAAAGGAACAGUUGUUAGUAACC
rnacentral:snRNA from 1 species